GAAGUUUCUUUGCAUUCUCUCCUGAGCAUGAAGCCGGCUCGUGGUUUUGCUUUCCUGCAAUUGCCACUUGCUGUUGGUGAAUGUUCUUUUCUCCUUUGGGAGAGUAGAUGGAGAGAAUGCAGUCUGA
rnacentral:snoRNA from 1 species